rnacentral:rRNA from 1 species
AGAGUUUGAUCCUGGCUCAGGACGAACGCUGGCGGCGUGCCUAAUACAUGCAAGUAGAACGCUGAAGAGAGGAGCUUGCUCUUCUUGGAUGAGUUGCGAACGGGUGAGUAACGCGUAGGUAACCUGCCUUGUAGCGGGGGAUAACUAUUGGAAACGAUAGCUAAUACCGCAUAACAAUGGAUGACACAUGUCAUUUAUUUGAAAGGGGCAAUUGUUCCACUACAAGAUGGACCUGCGUUGUAUUAGCUAGUAGGUGAGGUAAUGGCUCACCUAGGCGACGAUACAUAGCCGACCUGAGAGGGUGAUCGGCCACACUGGGACUGAGACACGGCCCAGACUCCUACGGGAGGCAGCAGUAGGGAAUCUUCGGCAAUGGGGGCAACCCUGACCGAGCAACGCCGCGUGAGUGAAGAAGGUUUUCGGAUCGUAAAGCUCUGUUGUAAGUCAAGAACGGGUGUGAGAGUGGAAAGUUCACACUGUGACGGUAGCUUACCAGAAAGGGACGGCUAACUACGUGCCAGCAGCCGCGGUAAUACGUAGGUCCCGAGCGUUGUCCGGAUUUAUUGGGCGUAAAGCGAGCGCAGGCGGUUUGAUAAGUCUGAAGUUAAAGGCUGUGGCUCAACCAUAGUUCGCUUUGGAAACUGUCAAACUUGAGUGCAGAAGGGGAGAGUGGAAUUCCAUGUGUAGCGGUGAAAUGCGUAGAUAUAUGGAGGAACACCGGUGGCGAAAGCGGCUCUCUGGUCUGUAACUGACGCUGAGGCUCGAAAGCGUGGGGAGCGAACAGGAUUAGAUACCCUGGUAGUCCACGCCGUAAACGGUGGAUGCUGGAUGUGGGGCCCGUUCCACGGGUUCCGUGUCGGAGCUAACGCGUUAAGCAUCCCGCCUGGGGAGUACGGCCGCAAGGCUAAAACUCAAAGAAAUUGACGGGGGCCCGCACAAGCGGCGGAGCAUGCGGAUUAAUUCGAUGCAACGCGAAGAACCUUACCUGGGCUUGACAUGUUCCCGACGGUCGUAGAGAUACGGCUUCCCUUCGGGGCGGGUUCACAGGUGGUGCAUGGUCGUCGUCAGCUCGUGUCGUGAGAUGUUGGGUUAAGUCCCGCAACGAGCGCAACCCUCGCCCCGUGUUGCCAGCGGAUUAUGCCGGGAACUCACGGGGGACCGCCGGGGUUAACUCGGAGGAAGGUGGGGAUGACGUCAGAUCAUCAUGCCCCUUACGUCCAGGGCUUCACGCAUGCUACAAUGGCCGGUACAACGGGAUGCGACGCGGCGACGCGGAGCGGAUCCCUGAAAACCGGUCUCAGUUCGGAUCGCAGUCUGCAACUCGACUGCGUGAAGGCGGAGUCGCUAGUAAUCGCGAAUCAGCAACGUCGCGGUGAAUGCGUUCCCGGGCCUUGUACACACCGCCCGUCAAGUCAUGAAAGUGGGCAGCACCCGAAGCCGGUGGCCUAACCCCUUGUGGGAUGGAGCCGUCUAAGGUGAGGCUCGUGAUUGGGACUAAGUCGUAACAAGGUAGCCGUACCGGAAGGUGCGGCUG